rnacentral:rRNA from 1 species
ACUCAAAGGAAUUGACGGGGACCCGCACAAGCGGUGGAUGAUGUGGAUUAAUUCGAUGCAACGCGAAAAACCUUACCUACCCUUGACAUGUCAGGAAUCCUGCUGAGAGGUGGGAGUGCUCGAAAGAGAGCCUGAACACAGGUGCUGCAUGGCUGUCGUCAGCUCGUGUCGUGAGAUGUUGGGUUAAGUCCCGCAACGAGCGCAACCCUUGUCAUUAAUUGCCAUCAUUCAGUUGGGCACUUUAAUGAGACUGCCGGUGACAAACCGGAGGAAGGUGGGGAUGACGUCAAGUCCUCAUGGCCCUUAUGGGUAGGGCUUCACACGUCAUACAAUGGUCGGUACAGAGGGCUGCCAAACCGCGAGGUGGAGCUAAUCCCUUAAAGCCGAUCGUAGUCCGGAUUGCAGUCUGCAACUCGACUGCAUGAAGUCGGAAUCGCUAGUAAUCGCGGAUCAGCAUGUCGCGGUGAAUACGUUCCCGGGUCUUGUACACACCGCCCGU